rnacentral:rRNA from 1 species
ACCUGGUUGAUCCUGCCAGUAGUCAUAUGCUUGUCUCAAAGAUUAAGCCAUGCAUGUCUAAGUAUAAGCAAUAUUUACUGUGAAACUGCGAAUGGCUCAUUAAAUCAGUUAUCGUUUAUUUGAUAGUACCUUGCUACUUGGAUAACCGUGGUAAUUCUAGAGCUAAUACAUGCCAAAAGCCCCGACUUCCGGGAGGGGCGUAUUUAUUAGAUACAAAACCAACGCCCCUCGGGGCUCGCUGGUGAUUCAUGAUAACUGCACGAAUCGCANGGCCUUGCGCCGGCGAUGGUUCAUUCAAAUUUCUGCCCUAUCAACUGUCGAUGGUAGGAUAGUGGCCUACCAUGGUUGCAACGGGUAACGGGGAAUUAGGGUUCUAUUCCGGAGAGGGAGCCUGAGAAACGGCUACCACAUCCAAGGAAGGCAGCAGGCGCGCAAAUUACCCAAUCCCGACACGGGGAGGUAGUGACAAUAAAUACUGAUACAGGGCUCUUUUGGGUCUUGUAAUCGGAAUGGGUACAAUUUAAAUCCCUUAACGAGGAACAAUUGGAGGGCAAGUCUGGUGCCAGCAGCCGCGGUAAUUCCAGCUCCAAUAGCGUAUANNAAAGUUGUUNCAGUUAAAAAGCUCGUAGUUGAACCUUGGGCCUGGCUGGCCGGUCCGCCUCACCGCGUGCACUGGUCCGGCCGGGCCUUUCCUCCUGGGGAGCCGCAUGCCCUUCGCUGGGCGUGUCGGGGAUCCAGGACGUUUACUUUGAAAAAAUUAGAGUGUUCAAAGCAGGCCUAUGCUCGGAUACAUUAGCAUGGAAUAAUAGAAUAGGACGUGCGGUUCUAUUUUGUUGGUUUCUAGGACCGCCGUAAUGAUU